rnacentral:rRNA from 1 species
AUUGAACGCUGGCGGCAGGCCUAACACAUGCAAGUCGAGCGAGCGGCGGACGGGUGAGUAAUGUCUGGGAAACUGCCUGAUGGAGGGGGAUAACUACUGGAAACGGUAGCUAAUACCGCAUACCAUCAGAUGUGCCCAGAUGGGAUUAGCUAGUAGGGGGGGUAACGGCUCACCUAGGCGACGAUCCCUAGCUGGUCUGAGAGGAUGACCAGCCACACUGGAACUGAGAAACGGUCACGACUCCUACGGGAGGCAGCAGUGGGGAAGUUUUGACAAGGGGCGAAAGCCUGGUGCAGCCAUGCCGCGGGGGGGAAGAAGGCCUUCGGGUUGUAAAGCACUUUCAGCGGGGAGGCGUUACCCGCAGAAGAAGCACCGGCUAACGCCGUGCCAGCAGCCGCGGUAAUAC